GUGAGGAAUAUUGGACAAUGGAUGGAAAUCUGAUCCAGCCAUGCCGCGUGCAGGAAGACGGCCCUAUGGGUUGUAAACUGCUUUUAUACGGGAGCAAUAAGGUCUAUGCAUAGAUUGAUGAGAGUACCGUAUGAAUAAGCAUCGGCUAACUCCGUGCCAGCAGCCGCGGUAAUACGGAGGAUGCGAGCGUUAUCCGGAUUUAUUGGGUUUAAAGGGUGCGUAGGCGGCUUUGUAAGUCAGCGGUGAAAUUUUGCAGCUUAACUGUAAAAGCGCAGUUGAUACUGUGAAGCUAGGAUUUGGUUGCUGUGGGCGGAAUGUGUGGUGUAGCGGUGAAAUGCAAAGAGAUCACACAGAAUAUCGAUUGCGAAGGCAGCUCACAAAGCCAAUAUUGACGCUGAGGCACGAAAGUGUGGGGAUCAAACAGGAUUAGAUACCCCAGUAGUCC
rnacentral:rRNA from 1 species